rnacentral:rRNA from 1 species
AUUGAACGCUGGCGGCAGGCCUAACACAUGCAAGUCGAGCGGGGUUUUCGGACCUAGCGGCGGACGGGUGAGUAAUGCGUAGGAAGCUGCCCGAUAGAGGGGGAUACCAGUUGGAAACGACUGUUAAUACCGCAUAAUGUCUACGGACCAAAGUGUGGGACCUUCGGGCCACAUGCUAUCGGAUGCGCCUACGUGGGAUUAGCUAGUUGGUGAGGUAAUGGCUCACCAAGGCGACGAUCUCUAGCUGGUUUGAGAGGAUGAUCAGCCACACUGGAACUGAGACACGGUCCAGACUCCUACGUGAGGCAGGAGUGGGGAAGAUUGGACAAUGGGCGCAAGCCUGAUCCAGCCAUGCCGCGUGUGUGAAGAAGGCCUUCGGGUUGUAAAGCACUUUCAGCGAGGAGGAAGGGGUGUGUGUUAAUAGUACACACCUUUGACGUUACUCGCAGAAGAAGCACCGGCUAACUCUGUGCCAGCCGCCGCCGUAACAC